rnacentral:rRNA from 1 species
UACGUAGGGACCAAGCGUUGUUCGGAUUUACUGGGCGUAAAGGGCGCGUAGGCGGCGUGACAAGUCACUUGUGAAAUCUCUGAACUUAACUCAGAACGGCCAAGUGAAACUGUUGUGCUAGAGUGCAGAAGGGGCAAUCGGAAUUCUUGGUGUAGCGGUGAAAUGCGUAGAUAUCAAGAGGAACACCUGAGGUGAAGACGGGUUGCUGGGCUGACACUGACGCUGAGGCGCGAAAGCCAGGGGAGCAAACGGG